rnacentral:rRNA from 1 species
UACGUAGGGCGCAAGCGUUGUUCGGAAUUAUUGGGCGUAAAGCGCUCGUAGGCGGCUUGUCACGUCGGAUGUGAAAGCCCGAGGCUUAACCUCGGGUCUGCAUUCGAUACGGGCUAGCUAGAGUGUGGUAGGGGAGAUCGGAAUUCCUGGUGUAGCGGUGAAAUGCGCAGAUAUCAGGAGGAACACCGGUGGCGAAGGCGGAUCUCUGGGCCGAUACUGACACUGAGGAGCGAAAGCGUGGGGAGCGAACAGG